GUCCUGGGCCUGGGAACACGCUGGAACAGGGCUGUGCUCCUCCUUGUGGCCAUGGUGGCCAGCAAACCCCCCCUCCCCCGCUAGUACUCGUUCUGUUCUUCUUCAAGGGACCUUCGAGGCUGGGUCCCCUGGGUUGGAGACACUGGCCCCCUGAAAGCCCUGGGAGUCCCAUGGUGGCCCCGAGCCUGGGACUGUGGAUUUGAGAACAGACUGGGCUGUGCUCAGGGAUUCGGGCUGUCAGAACUGGAUGCUUCUGAGUUGCGUCUCUGAGCUCCUCCCUGGCUCUCCUGUGGCUGCUACUGGACCCUGACAGCCUGUGUGCCUCCUGCCAGACCCCUCCCGCACCGAGCCCCUCCACACGCGUUCCUGGAGCGGGCCACCCCCAAUGCCCUACGUCCUUCAUCGUGUGGACCCCAUGUGUCUCCUGAACGCAAGCCGAGCCCAGGCCGUCCGCGAGAGGAGUCGCUUGUCCUUCCCACAACAGGCAGAAGAUUCAUCCUUCGGUGGCUUGACUCCUUCGCAGUGUUAAGGACUAAGUGCUGCUCACGAGCUUGGGCAGGGCCAGAUAAGGCUGGCCGUGACAUACGCCGGUCCUGCCGGGACUGCUCUGUCUCUGCAGGGGCUCGGGGCAGCCUCGGGGAUGCCUGGGUCAGCCGGAUUCCCAGCAGUCCGACCCCACUGGGGAGCCGGACAGCCGCAGCCGCCCUGUGGGACUAGGUGUGUGGCAGGCCCAUGGGGACCGCUCACUGCCCGGCCAGCUGUCCUGCAGGUGACAAAUUCGCCCUCUGGGCACAGACGCACUGACGAGCCCCACUGGAGGGCCCGAGCCCCACUGGAGGCCCCGAGCCCCACUUUCUCAUUCCUGUCCUCAGGCCGCUGGCUCUGCUUCCCCACGUUCCUCCUCAGGCGCCUGUAGGAGGUGGGCUUCCAGGCAGGAGGGGUGGUCUCGAGUGGGGGCUGUGCUCUUACAGCACCCAGCGGUCCCUCCGACUCUGUACUGGCGACCCCACUUUAGAGCCUCUCGAAGUCCAGACCUGGAUUUCCCCACGAGCUUUGCACAUAAGGGAACUUGCUCACACUCACGGCGUCUGGCAGUGGGCCCAGGCCUCCUUCCGGCCCCCACCCUGCUCAGUGUCCUCGGAGCCAGUGGCCCAGAGGACAGACGUGUCCCCAGGAAGCAUCCAUUGAGUGCCUACUGCAUGCAGGGCUCUGUGGCCAGGCCUGCUGUGCGUGAGGUGGGAGUGCAGCCAUGACCCCGUUGCUUGGAAACACUGCUCCUAGAAGCGCUGCUCUUUUGCGGAGUUUGUAAGCUGGGGAGCCACAUCUCAUGUGUCUGGAGCCUGCAGGGGGUCCGUAAUGACUGGUGGAGCAUGCAGGUGGAGGAGGGUGCGAGGUGGGCCUUCCCCGCCUUGCCUGUUCCCUGGGCAUUCCCCGGGCCAGGUGUGUGCGGCACGCGGCCACAACAGGGAGCCCGGCAGACGGAGCCCUCCCCCACGGGAGUCCAGGUAUGGGGGAGAGAGACGCUGAGCCACUAAUGUCACACAAGCCAUGAUCAAAUGACCACGGUCAUGUGGGGGUCCCCUGCAUGCGGCUGUCAGAGUGCAUGGGCUGGUGUGGGUGGGUGGGCGGACCCGGGACCUUGAGCCCAGAUGCGCUGGUGAACAGCUCUGGCCCGAAUCCCCAACCUGACCGCUCUCCUGCAAUCUGGGUUCCUUCACUCCUGUCACGGAUCCCAGCAAUCCAGCGGUCUCAUCUACACCUGUUACUCCUUGCUGCGCCCCCUCCUCCAGACCUUGGAGAAAUCCAGCAAACCCCUGUGCUCUGGGGGCCCCAGGCUGGUCGUGGUCCCAGCAUCCCCUGCAAGGUGUCUGUGGUUCGAGGAGAGGCUCCACACAGCCCCACCUCCAGCCCCGCCUGUGCCCGGGCCUUGCCCUGUGGGACAAGCACUGCCCUCACCUGGCUUCUCAGAGAACCCGCCCUUCCCAUCCCCACCUUUGCAGGGAGGGCUGUCUUCUCUCCUGUGGGGCUCCUGGCAGAAAGGGAUCCGAGCUGUGGUCUGCCAGGUGUUAGGCAGGGCAGGGCUCCCUGCAGGUCCCCUGCCCCUGUCUGUGGGGUUGGGGGGUAGCAUGGACGGCUCCCGGGCCCUUUCCACUCUGACACCAGGAGUCCCACGGCCAUGGGCCAGCCCGGCACUCUGUCUCACUCCAAAUGUCAGCGAGGAAAUGAAAAGCUCCCUGGAACGGAGUGUCUCGCCGUGACUUAUUAGAUCACAAACAGUUUAAUGAGCAGAGAGAUCUGGGAGGGUCGCGCGGCUGCGGCCCUCUCACCUCAUAAACUAGGCAUCAGAUGGUCAGGAAGGUGUCUCCGAGUAAACAGAAUUAUCUUGUUGGAUGAAGGACCCAUGUGAAUGGGUCUCUGCCAAGCCCUGGGGACAGCCUGGGCCCAGAGCCUCACCGCGACCUCCGGAAGCCGUGGGGGCUGCCUGACAGGGAGGGGCUCCAUCCUGCGGGCCUGGCCGCAGCCCCCUCAGUGUCACACAGGCAAUGACACGGAGCAGAUCUGCUUCUGAGCUGUGUGGCCUUGGGCAAGUUCCUUCACCUCUCUGUGCUCAUUUCCUCAUCUCCAAGGCCUCUGACUCCGCUGCCUGUCGGGAGUGUGGCAGGGCACUUGGCGUGGAGUGGGGCAGAGUGGAGGCCAGGCGCUAGGGACCACAAAGCUGGAGAUAGGUGGGGCUUGUCCCUGGCCUGGGAGCUGGUGGGGCCUCAGUGCUCCCAUCUGUGUAGUGGGGACCCUAGAUGCCAUGCCCAAGUCCCCUCCCCGCGCUGCUGAGUGGCACCGUGGGAACCUUCCAUGGCCUUCGUGACCCUGGGGGUCCUGGCUCCACUAGACGACCUUGGUGUUCUCCGCACAGGUAGGAGUGAGGCUCCCGCCCUCGCCCAGCCGGGUCCUGGCGGGGGCCUCGGGUCGCCAUCACGGUCACAGAGCAGCCCGCCUGCCGCCCGCUGCCGUGUGGAGGCAGAGGGCACUGCUGCUUAUAUGAACUUGGAAAAGCCCCACACGUUCUCCACGAGAGAUGUGCGCCCUAACUCACCCCACAACGCAGAUGGAUGAUUUUUAAUAAAGCAGCCUUUUCGGGCUUGAA